rnacentral:rRNA from 1 species
UGGGGAAUCUUGCUCAAUGGGCGAAAGCCUGAAGCAGCGACGCCGCGUGUGGGAAGAAGGCCUUCGGGUUGUAAACCACUUUCGGGAGGGAAGAAGCGAAAGUGACGGUACCUCCAAAAGAAGCCCCGGCCAACUACGUGCCAGCAGCCGCGGUAAUACGUAGGGGGCGAGCGUUGUCCGGAAUUAUUGGGCGUAAAGAGCUCGUAGGCGGCCCGCUAAGUCGGAUGUGAAAUCUCACGGCUCAACCGUGAAACUGCAUUCGAUACUGGCGGGCUUGAGGCAGGUAGGGGAAGGUGGAAUUCCUGGUGUAGCGGUGAAAUGCGCAGAUAUCAGGAGGAACACCGGUGGCGAAGGCGGCCUUCUGGGCCUGUUCUGACGCUGAGGAGCGAAAGCGUGGGGAGCAAACAGGAUUAGAUACCCCCGUAGUCC